UACAGAGGUCUCAAGCGUUGUUCGGAUUCAUUGGGCGUAAAGGGUGUGUAGGUGGCGCCGUAAGUCGGAUGUGAAAUCUCCCGGCUCAACUGGGAGGGGUCAUUCGAUACUGGCGGGCUCGAGGCCGGUAGGGGGAAGCGGAAUUCCCGGUGUAGUGGUGGAAUGCGUAGAUAUCGGGAGGAACACCAGUGGCGAAGGCGGCUUCCUGGACCGGUUCUGACACUGAGGAGCGAAAGCGUGGGGAGCGAUCCGG
rnacentral:rRNA from 1 species